rnacentral:rRNA from 1 species
UACGUAGGGUCCGAGCGUUGUCCGGAGUUACUGGGCGUAAAGCGCGCGCAGGCGGCGGUAUAAGCAUGGCGUGAAAGCCCCAGGCUCAACCUGGGAGGGUCGUCGUGGACUGUACCGCUUGAGGGCGGUAGGGGCUGGUGGAAUGCCUGGUGUAGUGGUGAAAUGCGUAGAGAUCAGGCGGAACACCCGUGGCGAAGGCGGCCAGCUGGGCCGUCCCUGACGCUGAGGCGCGAAGGCGUGGGGAGCGAACAGG